CAUGUAGGCGGCUUAAUAAGUCGAGCGUGAAAAUGCGGGGCUCAACCCCGUAUGGCGCUGGAAACUGUUAGGCUUGAGUGCAGGAGAGGAAAGGGGAAUUCCCAGUGUAGCGGUGAAGUGCGUAGAUAUUGGGAGGAACACCAGCGGCGAAGGCGCCUUUCUGACUGUGUCUGACGCUGAGAUGCGAAAGCCAGGGUAGCGAACG
rnacentral:rRNA from 1 species